rnacentral:rRNA from 1 species
UAGAGUUUGAUCAUGGCUCAGAUUGAACGCUGGCGGUAGGCUUAACACAUGCAAGUCGUGCGAGAAAGUAUCUUCGGAUAUGAGUAGAGCGGCGGACGGGUGAGUAACGCGUAGGAAUCUACCUAGUAGAAGGGGAUAGCCCGGGGAAACCCGGAUUAAUACCGUAUACCUCCUUCGGGAGAAAGAAGGCCUCUCUUUGAAGCUUUCGCUACUAGAUGAGCCUGCGUAAGAUUAGCUUGUUGGUGAGGUAAAGGCUCACCAAGGCGACGAUCUUUAGCUGGUCUGAGAGGACGAUCAGCCACAUUGGGACUGAGACACGGCCCAGACUCCUACGGGAGGCAGCAGUGGGGAAUAUUGGACAAUGGGCGCAAGCCUGAUCCAGCCAUACCGCGUGUGUGAAGAAGGCCUUCGGGUUGUAAAGCACUUUAAGCAGGGGAGAAAAAGUUAUAAGUUAAUACCUUAUAACCCUGAUGUUACCUGCAGAAUNANCACCNGGCCUAAUUCCGUGCCCAGCCAGCCGCGGUAAUUNCCGGAAGGUGCCANGCNGUUAAUCGGAAAUUACUGGGCGCUAAAGCCGCNCCGUAGGUGGCUUUGUNUAANUGUGGGAUGUGANAACCCCNGGGCCNUUAACCCUAAGGAACCNNCNUCCCAAAANCUAAUUUCACUNAGAAACUCCCAAUCGAAGGGNNAGGNCGAAAUUCCUUCNUGCUNGCCNGN